UUUUGUUUUUGUCCCCAUUUUUCAUGAGCUGAACUCAAAGAUCUAGGACAUUUUCUAUGUACACAAAAGGCCUAUUUCUCUCAAAUAUUCUUCACAAAUCUGUCUAAAUCUGUGUUAGUCUGCACUUCUCCUUUGCUGAGAUAAUCCAUCCACCUCAUAGGUGUGGCAUAUCUUUGAGUUCAGCUCAUGAAAAAUGGGGGCAAAAACAAAAG